CCGUGACGCCAGCGCGCCGUGAGGUCAGCGCGGCGGGGGCGGGGCGGCGGAGCGGGCCGGGCCGCUCGGGCCGCGCCGGCGGCCGCAGCAGCAUGGCGGAGUCGGCGGCGGCGGCGGCGGCGGCGGCGCCGCGGGUGGGGUCGUGGCUGCCGGUGCUGGUGGAGCAGAUGGUGAACGACACGCUGGUGGUGACGCUGCGCUGCGGCGAGCGCCGCUUCACCGGCGUCCUCCUCGACUGCACCAAGAAGUCCGGAUUGUUUUGUCUUCCGUCUUCCCUUCCAAAGCAAGAGGAGCCUCCUGCUAACGCUUGCACUAACUGGGUUCCCGACGGCCGAGAUCCUGUGCAGGGUGAGACCGAGUCGCAGCCCGCUGCCGAAAAGCCUCCCGAAGGAAACGGCGAUGAGCAAGUACCGCCCCUCCUGCCUCCCCCGCCGCCCGGCAACCUUCCCCCCUACCCCCCUUACUUUGAGGGAGCUCCUUUUCCUCGUCCGCUCUGGCUCCGGCACACGUAUAACCAGUGGGUUCCUCAGCCGCCACCACGGACUAUAAAGAGGACAAGGAGACGUUUGUCACGGAAUAGAGACCCGGGAAGGCUUAUCAUGAGCACUAUCAGGCUAAGGCCGAGACGGGUGCUCUGUGAAAAGUGUAAAAACACUCUGAACCCCGAGGAUGCAAACACAGCUAGGCAAAAUGCUAAGACAAGGAGGAAGCUGAGCAUUCAGGACAAAGAGCAGAAAAAGCACAGUGACUCUGACUACACCGAGAAAAGAAACAAAAGAGAAAAGAGAGAGGAAGACAAGUUUUCUGGGGAACUAGUGCAUCGGACACCAGUUAUAAAAAUAUCCUACAGUACUCCGCAAGGGAAAGGUGAAGUUGUAAAAAUUCCUUCCCGGGUUCAUGGCUCAGUCAAACCAUUUUGUCCACAGCGAAUAUUGCAGAACGGAGAGGAGGACCAAGAAGAGAGUAGGGACUCUGAACGAUGUCGAGAAACCAAAUGUUUAAUGGACAAGUCAGCAGGCAGCCAGCUUGCUUCCAUUCCAAAACUGAAGCUUACGCGGCCUGUGCAUUCCAGUGCAGAUGUUCCACCUCCAAAGAUCCGACUGAAGCCCCAUCGAAUAAAUGAUGGUCAGAGUGUUUCAAUUUAUAAAGCAGAACUUAUUGAUGAGAUAAAUGUCCUCCAGAACAGCAGGGAGUCCAAUCCUGCUGCGUUUUACAAUGAUGAAUCUACAGACAGAAGUUUAGCUGAGAUAUCUUCAGGGAGUUCAGGUGAAGAUGAUGACUUUAAAAGGUUUCCCCAGGGUAAAGAUGGACAUGAUAACUUGGCUUUCCUUAUGAACUAUCGUAAAAGAAAAGCAGAUUCUUCUAGUUUAUCCGUGUGUAGUAAUGACAGUCUAGAUGAAUCCAAGUCUUCUAGUUCAGAAGUAACAUCACCAGAAAUGUGUGACUUUAUACCUGGUGAUGAUGCAUCUGUCUCUUCAUCUUCAAAAGAUGAGCGUAAAAUCGUGCCACCGUUAACAGUUAGACUACAUACGCAGAGUGUGUCUAAAUGUGUCACUGAAGAUGGAAGAACUGUUUCGGUGGGGGAUAUUGUUUGGGGUAAAAUUCAUGGUUUUCCAUGGUGGCCGGCACGUGUUCUUGACAUAAACCUUAGCCAGAAGGAAAACGGGGAACCUUCAUGGCGAGAAGCUAAAGUAUCAUGGUUUGGUUCUCCAACGACUUCAUUGUUAUCUGUUUCAAAACUCUCUCCUUUCUCUGAAUUUUUCAAACUGAGAUUUAAUCGCAAGAAGAAAGGGAUAUAUCGGAAAGCUAUCACAGAAGCUGCAAAGGCAGUAGAGCAUCUGACUCCAGAAAUAAGAGAUCUCUUAACGCAGUUCGAAACAUAACUUUGCCUCCGGUAUCAGGAAAAGGUGCCCCUGUCUUCGGAGAUGCUGAGCUGCCUCGCUGCCUCGCCGCCCUGGACCUCGUGUUUCCCAGAACAGCGUUUUCGCCUUGCAAACAGCAGUUCCUUAAGGAGCUGUAACGAAGGGGACGCCCGGAGCGACAGCGGGACGAAGCCCCGCGCAGAGCAGCCAGCGUGAGCGGAGCCGAGCAGCGUGGACACCGGCCGGCAGCACGGACACCAGCCUGCAGCCCUGCUGCCUGGUGACACAUGGCCAGCAAGCAGAGCCGGGGUGGCAAUGGUGAAAUAAGGGUUAAAAAAGAUGCUUCCAGGCCCUGGGGGAACAGGGAGAACGUGCUUUUCCGUAUUCCACAUAGAAAGCAAGCUGGAAAAAACAUGGAGCUGAGGUAUUCCUUGGGUAUCCGCCGUGCCCAAGCGCUCCGGAGCGGGGCCAUCCCAUCCCGUGCCGUUACGUGCAUGGGGACGAGCCUUGCUGCGAGGAUGGACGCUCGCUUUGGCAUGCGGUUCACCGGCGCGUUGGACCCAUGGUGUGCAGAGCACGGCUGAAUCCACGCGCUCCAGUGCUAAGAGCAUCCAGAAGACUGAACUGCGGGAGGUCACGCUGCUCUCAGAGUCUCCUUUUCCUGUCAUUGUGUUGACUGAAUGAUAACAUUAAUAAAAAUCCCCAAAGUGCAAGGUGCAGGAGCUGCAUGUUCUGCAAAGCCUCCCCGGGAAAAUCGCCUUUUGCUUUCAGCGAGGAGAUGGGGGAACUGAACAGCUCUUACACUGGUUUAAGGCUGUGAGGGAGACCUUAUGUGGCCUGUUUCUGGCUCAGAAAUAGCAAAGGCUUCCCGAGAGCCAUCCCAGGGCGUCCCAGCAAUUGAGGGCGUCCCUGAAAGCCAGGCUCAGAGUCGAGUUGUGAAGAGUGCCUGUGUCGUGUGACUUGGAUGAAGUGCUCUCACCCGUGAGCUCUCCCGCAGAGGAACUUGCCUCUGGCUGGCUUGGUUUUUAACACACUGAGCUUUCAUGUGAAUGGCUGCACUCAUUUCUGAAAAUUUCCUAAUAAAAUUAAAACUAUUUUCAAAAAAAAAAAAAAAAGAGCAAAGAGGAAGGAUACUGGGAUCUACACAGGACACAGGGAUCUACACAGGCAGGCUUUGAUAUGGAUGCUAGUAGCUUUGGCAAAUAAGUUCACCACGUUUUGCUUUACAUUUCUAGGGUUACUGUUUUUUCCCUGAAGACCGAAUUCAGCUAUUGUUAUUCUUUUCCAAAGUUCCCGCAGAACAAUCCCAGCGCUUCUCGGUGCCACCGUUUGCCCUCGGCUCCCCGGGGACAAGCAGGAUCCCCGCGGCCUCCUGGCCCUUAUCCCACUCUCUUGCCCUGCGUUUCAGAGCCGAAACCCGCGGACGAGCCCAAACCCGCGGCGCAGCCUCCGCACUCGCCUCCAGCGAGCCACAGCCCAGGUCGCCGAGCGUCGGUGAUGGGCGCGCACUGCCCCGGUGCACGGCCCUACGCGCGGGCGAGCAGCGUGAAUCACGUAACUGCGCUGAAGGGAAGGCUGCCUGUUGCAGGAAUUUCAUCACAAGCAGAAGAAGCAAUAGAGGAAAAUAUCACCCUACUAAACUCACUGCCAUCCUCGUCGGGCGGGGAUCGGGGGGUUAAGCAUCAGGGCUAAAGCCUGGGUGGGCACAUACGUCCCGGGAGGCCCAAGCUGGGAGCACCUCGAAGCGGCUGCUCUACCAAGAAACCUCCUUGGAGAUGAGCUGCGAGAGGUUGAUGGUCUGAAACCUUCCCUGUGCUCAAGAAAUUUACUGUUCUGCGAGCGCUUGGCUCCUCCCGAGGUGCUCGUAAAACGCCUCAAACCCGCAGGCAAAGUGCCCCCGGCAGCUGAUGUGCCACCAAAUACCCCGGCCUGAGAGCUGCUUCGUUUGCCGUGGUUCCCGCGCCAGCCCGGGUGGAAGCGCACGGCCGGUCCAGACGCACCUGGCCUACGGGCAGCCUGUGAUCCUUAUCCUGGAGCCUUUCCUCCCGCAAAUCCCGGGAUAAGCACAAGGGAAGGAUUUAAGCACGAAGCUAAUACCCUGUGCAAUGGUCCCUGAUGGGAGCUGGCGGGGUGGAGGCGGGAGGCCGACGGCAGGGUCUGGUCCCUGCCUGGAUGAGCCCCGGCUGCGGCUGGGGUGAUGGAGCGGUGCCCCUGCUCCAUCCCAGCCGAGGAGGCUCCAUCCCGGCCGAGGAGGCUCCAUCCCAGCCGAGGUGGCUCCAUCCCGGCCGAGGUGGCUCCAUCCUGGCCGAGGGGGCUCCAUCCCGGCCGAGGAGGCUCCAUCCCGGCCGAGGAGGCUCCAUCCCGGCCGAGGUGGCUCCAUCCCGGCCGAGGAGGCUCCCAGGAGGGGCACAGAGCAGGGGACAGCCAGCAGCUGUGCAGACCCACGCGGGAUUUUCUGUAAAAUGGGUCUGGGAGGAGAAUCCAGUGCAAAAGCCAGGAGGCCGUUUGGAGCGCUGGAUCACGUGCACAAAGCGUUUGGGUGGUUUUGAGGCGUAAGCCAGACUUUGGGGGGAGCAGCGCUGCCAGUGACACCCCACGGAGGGUGGUCAGUCGCCGUGGCUGUUGUUUCCAGCCAAACCCCUGGAGAACCACCAUCUGGGACGUCCCCCGGAGCAGCCGGGGUGCCACGAGCUGGGGACACACGUGGGCCUUGGCCGGUCCUCGGUCUUGUACCGCACCAGCACCGUUAACAUCAUCAUUUUUUUAACCCUGUCCAGUGUUUCCACCUCCAUCCCACCAACGCCGACGGCGCCGCGGGCAAAGCUUUUGCUCCGUCGGACGAGACUUUCUGUUGCACUGGGUCGUUUUCCGUCCGUCGCCGCUUUGGGGCUGAUGUUGCUGCUCUGGUGCACCGGGACGAACCGCGUCCACGCAGACGAAGCCUGCACGAGCUCUGCGGCAGCCUGGUGCAUUAACGCACUAAUUAGCAACCGUUAUAAAGCCUUUUUAUGGGAUGCUGAGUAAUAACAUCGCCUGCUCUAAAAAUACACCGGGAAGGUAAGGAGGCUCAAAAACCCGAGUGCCAAAGAAGCAAUUUUAAUUUCCUAGCGCAUUUUGCGCCAUUGAUUGACGAAAGCCGUGUGCCAGGGCGAUGGUCAAGCCAUUAGAUCGCAGAGCGAAGCUGAAAUUUCAAAUUAGGUAACGUUCCCCCAAAUGGCUCUUCCGUAUUUGCAGCGCAACCUGUGCUGGCUGCUUUUCGUAUUUCGCGUGUGGCGUUUCAAUGCACGUGCAGAAUGGAGCCAGUUUUCACAGCAGCUUCUCCCUGGGUCUCAUUUCUCCGCCGAUGAAACAAGGACAUUCCCGUGCCGCUGCCGGGCUCGCGGGAACGCGCGUCCCACGCCGCUGGGAAGCCGGUACCUGACUGAGGGACGGGCGUACUGAGCUGCAGGAAGGGGCAAAACUGGGAUGGGAAGGGAUCUGGGCUUUUUUAACAGCUGAUCGUGUUGUUUUGCUAAUAUAAAUACUUUAUUUUUCCAC